AGAGUUUGAUCAUGGCUCAGAUUGAACGCUGGCGGCAUGCUUAAUACAUGCAAGUCGAACGGUAACAGAUUCUUCGGAAUGCUGACGAGUGGCGGACGGGUGAGUAAUACAUAGGAAUCUGCCCAUGUAGUGGGGGACAACUUGGGGAAACUCAAGCUAAUACCGCAUAAUUCCUACGGGAUAAAGAGGGCCACUGCUUGCAAGCUCUUGCUACUGGAUGAGCCUAUAUCGGAUUAGUUAGUUGGUAAGGUAAUGGCUUACCAAGACAGCGAUCCGUAGCUGGUUUGAGAGGAUGAUCAGCCACACUGGGACUGAGACACGGCCCAGACUCCUACGGGAGGCAGCAGUAGGGAGUAUUGGACAAUGGGCGCAAGCCUGAUCCAGCAAUGCCGCGUGUGUGAAGAAGGCCUGCGGGUUGUAAAGCACUUUCAAUUGGGAAGAAAGAUUAUGAGUUAAUACCUUAUAAUAUUGACGUACCAA
rnacentral:rRNA from 1 species